rnacentral:rRNA from 1 species
UACGUAGGGGGCAAGCGUUAUCCGGAAUUAUUGGGCGUAAAGAGUACGUAGGUGGCAACCUAAGCGCAGGGUUUAAGGCAAUGGCUCAACCAUUGUUCGCCCUGCGAACUGGGAUGCUUGAGUGCAGGAGAGGAAAGCGGAAUUCCUAGUGUAGCGGUGGAAUGCGUAGAUAUUAGGAGGAACACCAGUGGCGAAGGCGGCUUUCUGGACUGUAACUGACACUGAGGUACGAAAGCGUGGGGAGCAAACAGG